rnacentral:rRNA from 1 species
GUCUACGCUGUAAACGAUGAUUACUUGAUGCUGGCGAUAUACUGUCAGUGUCUAAGCGAAAGUGUUAAGUAAUCCACCUGGGGAGUACGAUCGCAAGGUUGAAACUCAAAGGAAUUGACGGGGGCCCGCACAAGCGGUGGAGCAUGUGGUUUAAUUCGAUGAUACGCGAGGAACCUUACCAGGGCUUAAAUGCAGAACGACAUUCCGAGAAAUCGGAACUUCUUCGGACGGACUGCAAGGUGC